UACGUAGGGUGCAAGCGUUGUCCGGAAUUAUUGGGCGUAAAGAGCUUGUAGGCGGCUUGUCGCGUCGGCUGUGAAAACCUGGGGCUCAACCCCGGGCCUGCAGCCGAUACGGGCAAGCUAGAAUUCGGUAGGGGAGACUGGAAUUCCUGGUGUAGCGGUGAAAUGCGCAGAUAUCAGGAGGAACACCGGUGGCGAAGGCGGGUCUCUGGGCCGAAAUUGACGCUGAGGAGCGAAAGCGUGGGGAGCGAACAGG
rnacentral:rRNA from 1 species